UAGACCCGAAACCACAGUGAUCUAUACAUGUCCAGGUUGAAGCUCAGGUAAAAAUGAGUGGAGGACCGAACCCGUGCAUGUUGAAAAAUGUUGGGAUGAGAUGUGUAUAGGGGUGAAAUGCCAAUCGAACGUGGAGAUAGCUGGUUCUCCCCGAAAUAGCUUUAGGGCUAGCCUCAGGCGAAUAACCAUAGAGACGGUAGAGCACUGAUCGGGCAAGGGGGCGUAAAGCCUACCGACCCCAGUCAAACUACGAAUGGCUCAUAUGGGCAGCCUGGGAGUCAGAAUGCGAGUGAUAAGACCCGUAUUCAAGAGGGAAACAGCCCAGACCGCCGGCUAAGGUCCCAAAUGCUGUGCUAAGUGGAGAAGGAUGUAGGACUUCGAAAACAACCAGGAUGUUGGCUCAGAAGCAGCCACCAUUAAAAGAGUGCGUAAUAGCUCACUGGUCGAGAGGCCCUGCGCCGAAAAUAUCCGGGGCUAAAGCACAGAACCGAAGCCGCGGCAUCGUACUAGAUACGAUGGGUAGGGGAGCGUUCCUGUUUGGACGAAGGUAGACCGGAAGGACUGCUGGACGAACAGGAAGUGAGAAUGCCGGUAUGAGUAGCGAAACGACAGGUGAGAAUCCUGUCCACCGAAAGCCUAAGGUAUCCCGGGCAACGCUCGUCGUCCCGGGGUUAGUCGGGACCUAAGCCGAGGCGAAAAGCAUAGGCGAUGGACAACUGGCGAAAAUUCCAGUACCGGGCGUCUUCGUUUGAGGAUGGAGUGACGCAGGAAGGAAGCUGAGCACGCGAAUGGAAGAGCGCGUCGAAGGCGGUAGGCUUGUAUGGAGGCAAAUCCCCAUACUACAAGGCCGAGAACCGAUAGAUAGGAAAGACUACGGUCAAUCUGAAUUCAGCUGCACUACACUGCCAAGAAAAGCUUCUAACGAGAAGACGUCCGCCCGUACCAAAACCGACACAGGUAGGCGGGGAGAGAAUCCUAAGGUGCGCGGGAAAACCCUCGUUAAGGAACUCGGCAAAAUGCAUCCGUAACUUCGGGAAAAGGAUGGCCGUUGAUGGUGAAGACAUUUACUGUUGGAGCUGUUGGCGGCGGCAGAAAAGAGGCCCAAGCGACUGUUUACCACAAACACAGGUGCCUGCGAAAGCGCAAGCUGAAGUAUAGGUGCUGACGCCUGCCCGGUGCAGGAAGGUUAAGGAGAGUUGUUAGUCCUUGAGAUGAAGCAGCGAACUGAAGCCCCUGUAAACGGCGGCCGUAACUAUAACGGUCCUAAGGUAGCGAAAUUCCUUGUCGGGUAAGUUCCGACCCGCACGAAAGGCGUAACGAUUUGGGCACUGUCUCAACGAGGGACCCGGUGAAAUUGAAAUACCUGUGAAGAUGCAGGUUACCCGCGACUGGACAGAAAGACCCCAUGGAGCUUUACUGCAGCUUGGCAUUGGUCUUUGGCAUAUAACGUACAGGAUAGCCGGGAGACUGGGA
rnacentral:rRNA from 1 species